ACUGACCCUAGCCCAAGCAAAUAUUAACCUAAUAACCACUGCCACCUAAACUAAAUCAUUCAUUUACCGAGGAGUAUAGGAGAUAGAAACUUGACCAAGGCGCUAUAGAGAUAGUACCGUAAGGGAAAGAUGAAAGACAAGACAACAGUAGAAAAAAGCAAAGAUUAAUCCUUGUACCUUUUGCAUAAUGAACUAGCCAGAACCAACCUAGCAAAGAGAACUUUAGUUAGACACCCCGAAACCAGACGAGCUACUUACGAGCAGCUAAUAGAGCUAAUUCGUCUAUGUCGCAAAAUAGUGAAGUGACUUGUAAGUAGAGGUGAAAAGCCAAUCGAGCCUGGUGAUAGCUGGUUGUCCAGAAUAGAAUCUUAGUUCAACUUUAAGUUCUACCUAAAGAAAAUUGAAUCUUAAUGUAAACUUAAAUGUUAAUCUAAGGGGGUACAGCCCCUUAGAACCAGGCAAAACCUUAAUUAGAGAGUAAAAAAUAACCCACCCAUAGUUGGCCUAAAAGCAGCCACCAAUCGAGAAAGCGUUCAAGCUCAACAGCUAAUAAUAAUAUUAAUGUCGUAAUCCGACACUAACUCCUAAACUUAAACUGGACCAAUCUACACACAUGUAGAUGAGACACUGCUAGCAUGAGUAACAAGAAGUAAUUCUCCCUGCACAAGCCUAUAUCAGAUCGGAUGCCCACUGAUAGUUAACAGACUAAUACACCUCAACCAAAUUCAAGACACUUAUUAACCAAACUGUUGACCCAACACAGGAGUGCACACAACCUUAAGGGAAAGAUUAAAAAGAGUAAAAGGAACUCGGCAAACUCUAACCCCGCCUGUUUACCAAAAACAUCACCUCUAGCAUAAAAAGUAUUAGAGGCACUGCCUGCCCAGUGACACAAGUUAAACGGCCGCGGUAUCCUGACCGUGCAAAGGUAGCAUAAUCAUUUGUUCCUUAAAUAGGGACUUGUAUGAACGGCCACACGAGGGUUUAACUGUCUCUUACUCUUGAUCAGUGAAAUUGACCUUCCCGUGAAGAGGCGGGAAUAAAAAAAUAAGACGAGAAGACCCUAUGGAGCUUUAAUUAACCAACUCACGUAUAAUAAUUGCUCAUUCGACAGAAAAUAAACAACAUACACUGAGUUGGCAAUUUCGGUUGGGGUGACCUCGGAGAAUAGCAGAUCCUCCGAAGCUAACAAGCCUAGACAUUACAAGUCAAAGCGUUCUAUCAAGCCAAUUGAUCCAAUAAGUUGAUCAAUGGAACCAGUUACCCUAGGGAUAACAGCGCAAUCCUAUUUCAGAGUCCCUAUCGACAAUAGGGUUUACGACCUCGAUGUUGGAUCAGGACAUCCCAAUGGUGCAGCCGCUAUUAAUGGUUCGUUUGUUCAACGAUUAAAGUCCUACGUGAUCUGAGUUCAGACCGGAGUAAUCCAGGUCGGUUUCUAUCUAUUAGAUGCCCUUCCCAGUACGAAAGGAUAAGAAGAGCAAGGCUAAUUCGCCAAGAACACCUUAAACUCAAUAGAUGAACCAAUCUAAAUCUAAUAAGUCAUCACAACCCAGCCCAAGAACAGGGCUU
rnacentral:rRNA from 1 species